GAUGAAGAACGUAGCGAAAUGCGAUACGUAGUGUGAAUUGCAGAAUUCCGUGAACCAUCAAAUCUUUGAACGCAUAUUGCGCUCGAGGCUUCGGCCGAGAGCAUGUCUGCCUCAGCGUCGGUAUUACCCCUCGCUUCUCAACCCCUGGUUGAUGCCUGCCUGCCUUUGCAGUUGGCUAGGAGCGGAUCUGGCUUUCCCAAUUGCCUUUGGUAGUUGGGUCAGCUGAAGCACAGAGGCUUGAGCAAGGACCCUUAUUGGGCUUCAACUGGAUAGGUAGAACUGGUCUUAGGACCAACUACACGAAGUUGUUGCUUGUGGUCUUUGUCUGGAGGCCAGCAGGAAACCUUUAUACCUUCGACCUGAGCUCAGGCAAGAUUACCCGCUGAACUUAAGCAUAUCAAUAAGCGGAGGA
rnacentral:misc_RNA from 1 species